CCCCUUCUUGCAUGCGCAGUUGUAUCAUGUAUGGAGGUGGAGAACUGAUGACGUUGACGAUCCUUGCGUUGCAGGCUUCGUGCGGGGCGGCCGGGUGUCGGCCAGGAACCCGCUGAUGACGAGGAACCUGGAGAGGAACGGCAGGAUCACCUGCAUGACGUGAGUACACCUCUGGCUAGCUUUGCCCAAGAGCGGCAGCGCGCGUUGUUCAUGUUGUCUCUGUGAAAUCGUUGCUGAUCGAUCUCGGCGGUUUUUUCCUUUCCCGUGUACGUGCUCGCCAGGUUUCCCCGGGACUGGCUGCGGAGGGACCUGAGCGUGAUCGGCUUCGGCCUCAUCGGGUGGAUCGGCCCGUCCAGCGUCCCCGUCAUCAACGGCAACAGCCUCACGGGCCUCUUCUUCUCCAGCAUCGGCGAGGAGCUCGCCCACUUCCCCACGCCCCCGCCAGUCACCUCCCAGUUCUGGUCAGGCUCAAGACCUCGCGCUCACGCUCUGCCUGGCCACUGUUUCUGACUUUCUGUACGGCAGCAGCAGCAUUUGAUGGGGCUUGUAACUGACAGACUCACACACGAAAUUGUUGCAGGCUGUGGAUGGUGACAUGGCACCUGGGCCUGUUCAUCGUGCUCACCUUCGGCCAGAUCGGCUUCAAGGGCAGGACCGAGGACUACUUCGAGAAGUGAAGCGGCUGAGCUCCAUCUGCUGAAGCGGCGUGCGUGCCGCAUCGAACCUUGCUUUGUAUAGGGCUCUGAUCUGGCUGAAUUCAUGUGUGGUG
rnacentral:lncRNA from 1 species